GAUGAACGCUAGCGGCAGGCCUAAUACAUGCAAGCCGAACGGCAAGAUUUUCAGCAAUGGAAAUCCUAGAGUGGCGUAAGGGUGCGUAACACGUAUGCAAUCUGCCCUCAACAGGAGGAUAGCUCCCCGAAAGGGGAAUUAAGACUCCAUAAGAUCUUAGAGUGGCAUCACUUAGAGAUUAAACUACCAGGGGUUNAGGAUGAGCAUGCGCAUGAUUAGUAGUUGGCGGGUAACGCCCACCAAGACGAUGAUCAUUAGGGGAACUGAGAGGUUGA
rnacentral:rRNA from 1 species